AUUUUCUGUUUGUUUUUAUCAUCUGGAAGAAUACAGGUGGAUUCAUGAUAAAACAUUUCUACUCUGCAAAAGUCAGAUUUGCUGACCCCCAAAAAUUCUAGAAGAGUGAGCAAUAUGAACAAAGAAAGCAUUUAGACCACAGAACAAGGCGUGGAUCCCCAGAUGAUGAUACAAUAAAUAAAGAGGGCUGGCUAAAUGUCUUCCUAGCAUGGAUUCAUUAUGCUGACAUCAGUUAUAGAGGUCUAUGGGACAUUUGUCCUGCCUAUAGACACUGGGUGGAAGGAACAUGGAGCAGAAGAGGACAGAACAAGUGCAUUCGCAGGAACAUAGAGGUGAUCAUAGAUGGAGUACCACAGCCUGGGGAGACAGUAGCCCAAGUAUAGUAGAUUUCUGGUCCUGUUUGUAAGAAUCCAGUAAGUUCAUACUUUCACUGGCUACUAUACUGAUGGACUAUUAACGCCCUUUCUAUUCAAGCCUGUAUGUCUAGAUUAAAUGGGAACUGAAACAGUUUCCAGUUUUUUAGUUUAACAGAAAAUUUGUGAGAUCUGUUGCUCCUCGUUUAGAUUCUACAUAAUUGCCCUGUUCUGGUGUAUAUUAUCCUCCAGAAGAGGAGAGUUUGAAUAGAAAAAAAUAUGUAUAGUUAGCUAUUUAUAUGCAUUAUACAUAACAAAAAUUUCUUUGUUUUGCUUCCCCUCCAGUCCACAAAGAGUCAGACCUAGAGAACUUUGCAGAUCCUAUCAGUGUAUUGAAACUGCACCAUGGGCAUUCAAAUCCAAAAAUCUGAGAGAGCACAAACAGUCUUAUUCUGGUAUUCACAGUGUUUGUUUUAUGUGUGAUGACAGCUGACAUGGAGAGGGCACAGAGGGCUUCCCUCACUUUAUUGCUCUCACCUGACUCCUGCUAGGAAGAUAAAUGGCAGUGUUGUCACUCAAAAAUACUUCAAUAUUAUGGUCUCUUUCUCAGCUGGGACUAAGCAGCAUUACAGCAUUACAUCACUUAUCUUUACACAAUCCAGCUCUUAAGAGCAGUAAAUUGGAUUCUCAAUAAAUGAAUUCCUCAGUUCA
rnacentral:lncRNA from 1 species